GACGAACGCUGGCGGCGUGCCUAAUACAUGCAAGUAGAACGCAGUUGCGAACGGGUGAGAAACGCGUGGGAACCUGCACCAUAGCGGGGGAUAAAACUUGGAAAAGAUAGCUAAUAACCCACAAUGUGAGCUGGAACUGCGUUGUAUUAGCUAGUUGGUGGGGUAAAGGCUCACCAAGGCGAUGAUACAUAGCCGACCUGAGAGGGUGAUCGGACACACUGGGACUGAGGCACGGCCCAGACUCCUACGGGAGGCAGCAGUAGGGAAUCUUCUGAAAUGGACGGAAGUCUGACCGAGCAACGCCGCGUGAGUGAUGAAGGUUUUCGGGUUGUAAAGCUCUGUUAUUAGGGACGCGGUACCGAAAUAGAAAGGGACGGCUAACUACGUGCCAGCAGCCGCGGUAAUUC
rnacentral:rRNA from 1 species